GACGAACGCUGGCGGCGUGCCUAACACAUGCAAGUCGAACGGAAAGGCCCUGCUUUGGUGGGGUGCUCGACGGGCGAACGGGGGAGCAACACGUGAGUAACCUGUCCCUGACCGUGGGAUAACUUCAUGCCACUGGGGCUAAUACCGGCUAGGAGCUCCUGCCGCAGGGUGGGGGUGGGUUAGUUUCGGCGGUUGGGGGUGGACUAGCGGCUUAUCAGCUUGUUGGUGGGGUAGUGGCUUACCAAGGCUUUGACGGGUAGCCUGCCUGAGAGGGUGAGCGGCCCCAUUGGGCCUGGAAUGAGGCCCAGACUCCACCGGGAGGCAGCGGUGGAGUAUAUUACACAAGGGGCGGAAGCCAGAUGCAGUACCGCCGCGUGCGGGGUGACAGCCUUCGCGUAGUGAACCGAUUUCGCCUGUGCCGAGGCGUGAAUGACGGUAAUGGGUAAAGAAGCACCGGCUAACUACGUG
rnacentral:rRNA from 1 species